rnacentral:ncRNA from 1 species
UGCUUAUCAAGAGUGGUGGAGGGACAAGGCCCUGCGAAGCCACAGCAACCGGCCCCGAGGGGGCGCCAGGUGCUAAUUCCUGCCGCAAGGCGAAGAUGAGCG